GUCCACGCCGUAAACGAUGGGUGCUAGGUGUGGGGGUGUCGACUCCCUCCGUGCCGAAGCUAACGCAUUAAGCACCCCGCCUGGGGAGUACGGCCGCAAGGCUAAAACUCAAAGGAAUUGACGGGGCCCGCACAAGCAGCGGAGCAUGUGGUUUAAUUCGACGCAACGCGAAGAACCUUACCAAGGCUUGACAUGCAUUUGAAAAACGUGGAACACGUUCCCUCUUCGGAGCAAAUGCACAGGUGGUGCAUGGCUGUCGU
rnacentral:rRNA from 1 species